rnacentral:lncRNA from 1 species
AGAGGGAUAGGAAAUAAUAUAACUGAGCAAAUUGUAGAAAUAAAAAAAAUUAUGAUCCACAAAUAUUUUGACUCUAUGCACUUAAUAGGAUGUAGAAAUUCCUUCAGCAAUAUGUCAACAUAAUUUUUGUACUAUCAGUGUAUUUAAUAAGCAAUUACCUUAUUUUUAAAGAGACUUUUUCCUAUUUAAAAAGUAGUAAUUUCACUUUCUGUGGACUGUUACCUAUAGUAUCUUUUUGUUGAGUUGUCCCACAUCGGAGGGAUUUGAGGUCCUUGAUUUCCUUAUAUGGCUUGGGCAAUCCUCUCCUUAUAAGCUAGCUUUUGGGGUUGAGUUAGGCCCAAGGUCCAUUCUUAUCAUGGUAUCAGAGCCAGACCCAUCCCAAUUAUUGUUACCGAUGUUUAAAUAUUAUGUGGCUCUUAUUGUUGAGUUGUCCCACAUCGGAGGGAUUUGAGGUCCUUGAUUUCCUUAUAUGGCUUGGGCAAUCCUCAACUCAUAAGCUAACUUUUGGGGUUGAGUUAGACCCAAGGUCCAUUCUUAUCACUUUUAGCUGAUUUGACGGUAUAAAAAAUGUUUUACACUGCUAAAGUAUAGAAAGCUAAACUCAUA